rnacentral:rRNA from 1 species
GAUGAACGCUAGCGGCAGGCUUAAUACAUGCAAGUCGAACGGUAACAGGCCGCAAGGUGCUGACGAGUGGCGAACGGGUGAGUAAUGCAUCGGAACGUGCCCAGUCGUGGGGGAUAACGCAGCGAAAGCUGCGCUAAUACCGCAUACGACCUCUGGAUGAAAGCGGGGGCCCGAAAGGCCUCGCGCGAUUGGAGCGGCCGAUGUCAGAUUAGGUAGUUGGUGGGGUAAAGGCCCACCAAGCCAACGAUCUGUAGCUGGUCUGAGAGGACGACCAGCCACACUGGGACUGAGACACGGCCCAGACUCCUACGGGAGGCAGCAGUGGGGAAUUUUGGACAAUGGGCGCAAGCCUGAUCCAGCAAUGCCGCGUGCAGGAAGAAGGCCUUCGGGUUGUAAACUGCUUUUGUACGGAACGAAACGGUCCGGGUUAAUACCCUGGGCUAAUGACGGUACCGUAAGAAUAAGCACCGGCUAACUACGUGCCAGCAGCCGCAGUAAAAC